UACAGAGGGUGCGAGCGUUGUCCGGAAUCACUGGGCGUAAAGGGCGCGUAGGCGGCCUGAUAAGUAGGGGGUGAAAUCCUGUGGCUUAACUGCAGGGCUGCCUCCUAGACUGUUAGGCUCGAGCACGGUAGAGGCAGAUGGAAUUCCCGGUGUAGCGGUGGAGUGCGUAGAGAUCGGGAAGAACAUCGGUGGCGAAGGCAGGUCUCUGGGCAUUAACUGACGCUGAGGAGCGAAAGCAUGGGGAGCGAACAGG
rnacentral:rRNA from 1 species